rnacentral:misc_RNA from 1 species
AGUAUUAGCUUUACUUUCCAAUGAAGUAAGAAAAACUUUACAUCUGGAAAUUUACCUACCGAAUUUAAAAUUUAGUUUAUUUCAUACCAGAAAAUAUGGUUGUUUUAUACAUCUAUGUGAUGUUUGUUUUUUUCACUACCGCAGAAAAUUAUUACGCCGUUAAUAACAAAAUCUGUAGCUUGAAUUAUUUUAUGAAAAUCUUAUCUUGCAUCUGUGACAGUAAAUUCGAACUUCGAAACAAUGAAGAACGGAAGAAAGUCCAUCUUCAUUAUGCAGUGGAUCACUGUUGUAAAUUUUCCUGUUCGGAAUUAUUUCUGAAGUUAUAUUGUCCAUUUAAAAAUUCUGAGGAAAGUCGUGAUUAUUUAUCAAAAUACAUUUCUCCAGAAUACGUUUUUGAUGAAAAUAUUAUUGCAGAGAUAUGCAAGAAGAAUGGUAUUAAAUACAACAAAGAUUUUUCGACUAGACAGAACCAGGAUCGAACAUAUUCAGAUUUUUCUAAUUGCAGAACGGUCGAUUCCUAUUCUGGUUUUAGGCAUAAUGAAAAUAUUGACACGUCCGUAAGUAUCCCUGAUGACGAAGACUAUUCAAUUAUUGGAUCAUCUGGUUUCUCGAGUGGAAAAGGUUAUUCUGACGAAUCAUCCGGUAUUUUAAACGACGAAACUGCGAUUCAUUAAGAGAAAAAUAAUUUUUUCUGACCUAAACAAAGAAAACAAGCAUAUCAUUUCCAAGGAGUCUGAAAACCUUCAUGUUUCACGAAUUAAAGGAAUAUCCGCAUAAACAUCGUUUUUUUAAAUAAAGUUGUAAAAUAAUUUCAUUUGAUAUUUAAUUUAAAAAUAAAUAAAAAUUUUCUGUAAAUCUUUAGUCCAAUUUUAGAAAUUGUUAGUUGUAUAUCAAAUAUUAUAAUGAAAAUUCAUAUAUACAAAAAUUACAUAGAUACUCCUACUUUCGCUUUAACUUUUCUAAGUAAAAAUUUAAACUAUGUUUACGCUUUAAAUGCUAUUUUCUAAUUGAUUUUUAUAGUAAUUUAUCAAGAUUAAUGUUCUUUCUGAUUAUAUAAUAA